AGUGAACGCUGGCGGUAGGCCUAACACAUGCAAGUCGAACGGCAGCACAGUAAGAGCUUGCUCUUACGGGUGGCGAGUGGCGGACGGGUGAGGAAUACAUCGGAAUCUACUUUUUCGUGGGGGAUUACGUAGGGAAACUUACGCUAAUACCGCAUACGACCUACGGGUGAAAGCAGGGGAUCUUCGGACCUUGCGCGAUUGAAUGAGCCGAUGUCGGAUUAGCUAGUUGGCGGGGUAAAGGCCCACCAAGGCGACGAUACGUAGCUGGUCUGAGAGGAUGAUCAGCCACACUGGAACUGAGACACGGUCCAGACUCCUACGGGAGGCAGCAGUAGGGAAUAUUGGACAAUGGGCGCAAGCCUGAUCCAGCCAUACCGCGUGGGUGAAGAAGGCCUUCGGGUUGUAAAGCCCUUUUGUUGGGAAAGAAAAGCAGCAGGUUAAUACCCCGCUGUUCUGACGGUACCCAAAGAAUAAGCACCGGCUAACUUCGUG
rnacentral:rRNA from 1 species